rnacentral:misc_RNA from 1 species
UGUUCCACUGAUGCCGUGUGCCACGGUUGGUACGGCGCCGUCGUUUCUGUUGACGCGCUGCUGUGGCGCGGCGCGCUCGGGCUUUCAAGUUGUCCGAAGUCAAGGAGGUCCUUGUCCGAAGUCUUCUCGUCUGACUCGUGCGGCGAAGUGACGUAAGGUGGUUUUGUGGUGCUCCGUUGUCCCAUGAUGCCGUCGCGAAGGGGCCCCAUGAUCGACGAUCAACUCAUUCUGCCGGCAAGGCCUCCUGCCGCCAAGCGGUGUCCCGUCUGCAAGGCAUUCGGCUCCGAGCGGAUGCAGCACGCGAGCCAGUGUCCCCUGGAGCCCGUGUACUGCGAGAACAAGUGCGGCGUCAAGGUGUCUCGGCGGCUGCUGCAGGAGCACCGCACGAACGACUGCACCAAGCGGCUCGUGCCGUGCCCCUACUGUCGCAAGGAGUUCGUCUUCGACACGCUCAAGAACCACAUUCCCAAGUGCCCGCGGUACCUGGUACAGUGCCACCAGUGUGAGACGACGAAGAUCCCGCGCGAAGAUCUGGAGCACCACCUGAAGGAGUUCUGCCCCGCCGCGGCUGUGGGUUGCGUUUUUAAGGAUCUGGGAUGCAAGUUCAAGGGUUCACAGUUCGCACUGGACCAACACCUGGACGAGAGCAGCAAGAACCACCUGGGCUUGCUGUGCGGCAUCGUGUCGCGGCAGCAGCAGCAGAUCUCGGCGCUGCGCACCGCGCUGCACGGCCUCGUCGCCAACACGACGGGAACACUUCUCUGGAAGAUCUCGGACUACUCGCACAAGAUGGCCGAGGCCAAGGCCCAAGAGGGCGGCCUCGAGAUCUGCAGCCCGCCGUUCAGCACCAGCCCGUACGGGUACCGGCUCAUGGCCACGCUGUUCCUCAACGGCAACGGGUCGGGCGAGUCGACGCACCUCUCGGUCUACAUCAAGCUGCUGCCGGGCGAGUACGACUCGCUCCUGCCGUGGCCCUUCGCGCACACGGUGUCCUUCGCGCUCCUGGACCAGCCGUCGACGCCCGACAAGGCGUGCCACAUCGUCGAGAGCUUCGUGCCGGACCCGACGUGGAAGAAUUUCCAGCGGCCCAGCCGCGAGCCGGACGCCCUCGGGUUCGGCUUCCCGCGCUUCGUGUCUCACGAGAUGCUCAAGAAGUGCCACUACGUGCGCGACAACGCCAUCUUCAUCAAGGUCACCGUGGACGAGAGCAAAAUCAUUGCCGUGUGAUAGUGGUUGCCAGACUGCGCGGAGGAAAUUAAGACUGUUUUCGCAAAUGUGUUCUGCGGACUCCCGCAAGGUGGUGGAAGGGUUAUGAAAGGGAUAAUUGAUAACGCCCAGAAAGGUGUUGGUUCCGGGUUCGAUCCCCGGACCAAGACUAAUUUUUCUUCAACCAGCAGCUUUCCCUUAUGAGAAAUCCGUGUGGAUUUUCCUGCGGCUUCGUGUUACAAACGGUGGUUUUCAAUUAUCCCUUUCAUAAGACGGUUUUUGGUGCGCCAACGGCUACAUUUUAAGCGCCCAACGGUGGCACCAAAAUGUCGCGGUGAUCCGACGAAUUUUUGUGCAGAAGGCUCAUCCUCCUUUGUUGCCAGGCGCAGUCGGCCACAAAAGUUUAUGGGACGAGAGUCCCCCAACAGUGUAAAUGCCUGUCUGCCUUAAAUUGCGCAGUUAUGAUUCAUUGAUCACUUCUUCGACUGCAAAACUGCCAAGAACAGAAACCUCAAAUUCGAAACCUAGAAGGGUGUCCCAGAAAAUUACGUGGAUGGCUCUUACACGAAGCUGCUAUCUGGUAGCAUUUUGGUACCAGAUGCAUUUGCUCUUCAAAGCUUAAAUAACUUGUUCAGGCCACCCUUAUCUGUCAAUUUUGCCCUGGGUCAACAGGACUGUUAUCUUUUGAGACAGUGCUGCUAAAUCCGGUGUGGAGAGCUGACAAACUUGAGAGCAACUAUAUCUUGAUGCAAAGGUAGCUCGCAAUGAAUUUUUUUGUUAUCGCAAUAUUGUGCUGAACGAACAAUAACUGAUUGCAAUUAGGGUCAUACUGCAGCUACUUUCUAAUGAUGCGAGCCAGUGUACGUCACUCAAACAUCAUGUCACUCUCAGGCCAUUGCAAUUAUGUAUUUUAACAAAACUUUCUUUACAGAAUUUGUUUCAACACACAUAUCAAGUGCAAAUAUGCCCCUUGCAGCCUGCCUCUUCCAAAGCAAUCAUGAUUACAAC